UACAGGGGGUGCAAACGUUGCUCGGAAUCAUUGGCGUAAAGCGCACGUAGGCGGUCUGUUAUGUCGGAUGUGAAAGCCCUUGGCUCAACUGAGGAAGUGCAUCCGAAACUGGCAGGCUAGAGUACUAAAGAGGAUCGCGGAAUUCCCGGUGUAGAGGUGAAAUUCGUAGAUAUCGGGAGGAACACCAGUGGCGAAGGCGGCGACCUGGGCCAAUAUUGAACGCUGAGGUGCGAAAGCGUGGGGAGCAAACAGGG
rnacentral:rRNA from 1 species